rnacentral:rRNA from 1 species
GUUAAAAAGCUCGUAGUCGGAUUUUGGCUGAGAACGGUCGGUCCGCCGUUAGGUGUGCACUGACUGGUCUCAGCUUCCUGGUGAGGAGGUGUGCUUCAUCGCCACUUAGUCACCGUGGUUACUUUGAAAAAAUUAGAGUGUUCAAAGCGGGCUUACGCUUGAAUAUAUUAGCAUGGAAUAACACCAUAGGACUCCUGUCCUAUUUCGUUGGUCUCGGGACGGGAGUAAUGAUUAAGAGGAACAGUUGGGGGCAUUCGUAUUUCAUUGUCAGAGGUGAAAUUCUUGGAUUUAUGAAAGACGAACUUCUGCGAAAGCAUUUGCCAAGGAUGUUUUCAUUGAUCAAGAACGAAAGUUGGGGGCUCGAAGAUGAUUAGAUACCAUCCUAGUCUCAACCAUAAACGAUGCCGACUAGGGAUUGGCGGAUGUUAAUUGAUGACUUCGCCAGCACCUUAUGAGAAAUCAAAGUUUUUGGGUUCCGGGGGGAGUAUGGUCGCAAGGCUGAAACUUAAAGGAAUUGACGGAAGGGCACCA